rnacentral:lncRNA from 1 species
UAGAAAGAAUAUAGGCUUAGUUUCAUGGUUAUAAAUGUUAUAACAUGUCAUAUCUUUCAUGAUUGAUUCAUAUGUAUGCUUGAUACUUGGAAUUUUGGAUGUUGCAUGAAAGAGAUUUUUCAAAAAUAAACAAAGGGGGUGGCGGCAUCUUUGGGUUUUUGGUCUUGUGUGUUUUUCAUGCUUAUCUAAUUUAUUUUGUUGUGUUGGUCUU